CCAACCCCUGUGACAUACCUUACUGUUGCCUCGGCGGAUCAGCCCGCUCCCGGUAAAACGGGACGGCCCGCCAGAGGACCCCUAAACUCUGUUUCUAUAUGUAACUUCUGAGUAAAACCAUAAAUAAAUCAAAACUUUCAACAACGGAUCUCUUGGUUCUGGCAUCGAUGAAGAACGCAGCAAAAUGCGAUAAGUAAUGUGAAUUGCAGAAUUCAGUGAAUCAUCGAAUCUUUGAACGCACAUUGCGCCCGCCAGUAUUCUGGCGGGCAUGCCUGUUCGAGCGUCAUUUCAACCCUCAAGCCCUCGGGUUUGGUGUUGGGGAUCGGCGAGCCUUUCUGGCAAGCCGGCCCCGAAAUCUAGUGGCGGUCUCGCUGCAGCCUCCAUUGCGUAGUAGUAAAACCCUCGCAACUGGAACGCGGCGCGGCCAAGCCGUUAAACCCCCAACUUCUGAAUGUUGACCUCGGAUCAGGUAGGAAUACCCGCUGAACUUAAGCAUAUCAAUAAGCCGGAGGAA
rnacentral:rRNA from 1 species